AAUCACUGGUCCUGCUCUGAUUCUUACAGCUGCAAAGCUCAUUUUUUACAAUGUUUGGUUUAUGUUGUGAUGCCCCUAAUGGAUAUUUAUUGCAAUUAAAAUGUGUUUGUGGAAAAAGGAAACUCCAGCACACAAAGGUUUUGUGAAGGACUGGAGGACUCUUUAACUCUAAAGGCCUCGGUGAUUACUGCAGCCAGCAGAGGAAGAGUGAAAACAGAAGAAGAAGAAAGCACAACAGAGGAUGAUAAAGAGGCUCGUCUCGGCUUAUUGAAAUCCUUCGCCGCUGUGACUUGUGGAGUGGAGCGCUGAGCGAGGAGGAAGCUUCUGCGAGGGAGGGAAAAUGCUGCGAGGCGCCUCUGGACUUCAGCGGCCCUGACACUGAAUUAUAGUGUUUAGCCUGGAAAAGCUUUGUCUGUAAUUUCCCUGUUAGAUAUGAAGCGCUCAAUCAUUGCAGGAAAUGUCAGCGUUAGAAAGCAAUGAUUUGUUCACAGUUUUUAUUUCAUAUUCGGUCCUUGUAGGAGACACAGGGCAGUUUAUCAGGCUGUUGUGUUUGCUGUAGUUUCAGACAGGGGGAGGGAAAGUUCAGUUUUAGAACUAGUGUUUCAAACAAAAGGACAAAGUGUUCAUGCCGAGCUGAAGGAUGCAUGACAGGUUAUCUCAUCUGACACCUCUGAUUAAAGGAUGGCAUUGUC